rnacentral:rRNA from 1 species
CCUACGGGAGGCAGCAGUGGGGAAUAUUGGGCAAUGGAGGAAACUCUGACCCAGCGACGCCGCGUGCGGGAUGAAGGCCUUCGGGUUGUAAACCGCUUUCAGCAGGGAAGAAGCGAAAGUGACGGUACCUGCAGAAGAAGCACCGGCUAACUAUGCGCCAGCAGCCGCGGUAAUACAUAGGGUGCAAGCGUUGUCCGGAAUUAUUGGGCGUAAAGAGCUCGUAGGUGGUUCGUCACGUCGGAUGUGAAAAUCUGGGGCUUAACCCCAGACCUGCAUUCGAUACGGGCGAGCUUGAGUAUGGUAGGGGAGUCUGGAAUUCCUGGUGUAGCGGUGGAAUGCGCAGAUAUCAGGAGGAACACCAAUGGCGAAGGCAGGACUCUGGGCCAUUACUGACACUGAGGAGCGAAAGCGUGGGGAGCGAACAGGAUUAGAUACCCUGGUAGUCCACGCCGUAAACGGUGGGCACUAGUUGUGGGGACCUUCCACGGUCUCUGCGACGCAGCUAACGCAUUAAGUGCCCCGCCUGGGGAGUACGAUCGCAAGNUUAAAACUCAAAGGAAUUGACGG